rnacentral:misc_RNA from 1 species
CUAUUGGAAACUUCAUGUAACGAUUAUUUUCAAACAUAUUUAGAGUUUCAGAAACCAUCGUAUCCAGAGGAGGAACCAGGUAAUUUUGUUUGUUUAACCUGCAAGAAAAGCUUUUAUAAUGCGAACGCGUUACGUAAUCAUAAGACGAUGCAGCAUGACUCCAGAGAUUCUGCCACUGAAGAUGAACAGGCUAUGUUUUGUUCAAAUGGUAACGAUCAGGUAUUUGAUGAUAUUUGUGAUUUUAAAUUUAUACCAUUAAAUAAAUCGGAGAAAGAUCCAGUAACAGAACAAGACGGC